GCCAAGUAGCAAUCAGACAGAGCGCUAGGAACGGCCGACUGUUUGGGGUGUAUCUGGACUGCUACAAUGGACGGAGAUUUAUUUUUUUUUUAGUUACAUCUAAAUUUUUGCGGUGAUCCUGUCAUAAUCAUGGCUUUGGAGAAUGCAGGUACGAGGACAUGUGCAGGUGGUGAGCACUGAACCAUGACAGGCCUAACAUAACUCCAGGAUGACAACAUAGAUAACUCCUGGCGGAUGACUUCAUUAGAGAGCUGGGGGAAAGAGAUUUAACAUUUCUCUCUCCUGAAGAAAAAAGAGGACAAAGAGCAGGGGCACACCUGUUUGGACACGCUGGACUGUUUCAAUUACCACACAUCAUCUGACUCUACUGUUUGCUGUAUUAUAGAGGAACUUGCUGAACCAGGAAGUUAAGCCCAGGAGGUAGUGCUGCCAUGUCUUUGAGGCAGGAGUUUCAGCGAAGGCAGUAAGGUGAUCUGGGCAGGCCCUCCUUCAAUAUGACAUGCCCCAGAAAUGGAAUAUUUGUUUGACCAAAUGAGCUUUUGUCAAAGUAUAAAUUUGCCUGGAGUCACUGUCAAUGCAGAAAAUUAAAGUUUGUAAUCUGGAUAUAAAGGUUAUUAAGUUUAGGCCACAGUGUAUUUCUUCUGUAAAUGUGUUCCAGCUCUGUGGAGCUAAAUGCUGCCGUAAUGUUGCUUAAAAUUCUUAAGAACAGUAAUAAGAUAGAUGUUCAUAAAUAAAAUGGACAGCGGGAUAAAGAGAGUCAAAGACCAUUUUAUCGAGUGAACAAAAC